GACGAACGCUGGCGGCGUGCUUAACACAUGCAAGUCGAACGAUGAAGCCGGAGCUUGCUCUGGUGAAUUAGUGGCGAACGGGUGAGUAACACGUGAGUAACCUGCCCUUGACUCUGGGAUAACUGCGGGAAACUGUAGCUAAUGCCGGAUACGACCCUCGGAGGCAUCUCCUGGGGGUGGAAAGAAUUUCGGUCAAGGAUGGACUCGCGGCCUAUCAGCUAGUUGGUGAGGUAAAGGCUCACCAAGGCGACGACGGGUAGCCGGCCUGAGAGGGUGACCGGGAACACAGGGACUGAGGCACGGCCCAGACUCCAACGGGAGGCAGCAGUGGGGAAUAUUGCACAAGGGGCGCAAGCCUGAUGCAGCAACGCCGCGUGAGGGAUGACGGCCUUCGGGUUGUAAACCUCUUUUAGCAGGGAAGAAGCGAAAGUGGCGGUACCUGCAGAAAAAGCACCGGCUAACUACGUGCCAGCCGCCGCCGUAA
rnacentral:rRNA from 1 species